ACAGUUCGUGGGUUAGACGCUAGUAAGGCUACUCUCUCCCACGCUGUUUCAACCCUUUGUCUUUUGCGUACUGUAUGUUUCCUCGGCGGGUUCGCCCGCCGAUAGGACACUUCAAAACCUUUUGUAAUUGCAAUCAGCGUCAGAAAAACUAUAAUAGUUACAACUUUCAACAACGGAUCUCUUGGUUCUGGCAUCGAUGAAGAACGCAGCGAAAUGCGAAAAGUAGUGUGAAUUGCAGAAUUCAGUGAAUCAUCGAAUCUUUGAACGCACAUUGCGCCCCUUGGUAUUCCAUGGGGCAUGCCUGUUCGAGCGUCAUUUGUACCCUCAAGCUCUGCUUGGUGUUGGGUGUUUGUCCCGCCUCGCGCGUGGACUCGCCUUAAAGUGAUUGGCAGCCGGAAUAAUUCUGGGGAACGCAGCACAACUGCAGCCUUCAUAUUACGCCGAGCGUCCAGUAAGCCUCUUUUUCAACGUUUGACCUCGGAUCAGGUAGGGAUAC
rnacentral:rRNA from 1 species